ensembl:lncRNA
GACAGCUACAAACUAAAUGUUAAAUCCUACCACCUGUUAAGUUUGUAGAGAGAGGACAAAGGAAAGGUGAAGGAGAGAGGUCUCAUGGUCAAAACUGCCUAUGAGGGAAGAGAGGGACAAUACCCAACUUCUGUCUCAGCCAGCAUAGGUGGAAAAGUAGUGAUAUGACAAGGAACGUACCAUUUAAAAAAAAAUCACAACAUGGGGUGUGCUUUCAGGGACGCUCCUAAGGCUACCUAGUAAGAGGUAAAUGACAAAAUAGCAGACACCCUCAAACAUGCACCAGCUUGGCUCAAGUGUAAGCAAAAGGAGCGGGUUGAGCAGGCGACAGUGGAUGAGGAUGGAGCAGCAGCACCUGUAUAAACAUAUCAUAGUUUUUAACUUUUAGUUUGAAGCAGUUUUACAGUCCUUGAUUGGAGUGCAGUGUUCAAGUUUUUACUGACUUGUUAUUUUGUGAGCUUAUAGCUGUGAUUUUUUUCCCCCGAAUCUAUUGUUUAAGUAUCUAUUCUAUUAUUUAAGUUAAAAAAUAUAUAUAUUUUCUGGAAUUUUGCAUAUUUCGUCAGUGGACACCUACCGACAAGAUACUGUGUUGAUGUUCAGGGUAGAUUAAAUGGCGUGUCUUAUAAUGUCAUUAGAUAUUCAGGAGCCCCCUCAUUUCAACGUCCUGAAGUGACUUAGGAAGCUACUUUUGUCAACUGACACCACAGUUGAAAACAUCUGGGAGACGUUUCAUGGAAGCAUUAUUUUUAUGUCGACCUCAUAACAUUGCUAUACGUCAGAAAGUACAAUGAGAGCCCCACAAAAUGCCGUUUCUGGUAGCCACUGCGAACUUAACUUGGUCAGUGUUUACCUACAGCACCAACAAGACAAGUAAGUGUGCGCGUUCAGGAAAGAUUCAAGGACAUCUCUUAUAACGUCACUAACUAACGUGAUUCAGCUGUUUAAUAAGAUCCCCCACAUUUCAACGUCCUAAAAAGACUUGCGACUUGACUUUUAUCAGCUGACGCCACAGGUACAUGUACUGUAGGAGACGUUUCAUGAAAACAUUAUUUUUUAGGUCAACCUCAUAAUGUUGCUAAAGGUCAGAAAGUACAUUGACAGCCCCACAAAAGGCAGUUUUUGGUAACCACUGGGAACGUAACUUUCGUCAGUGGUUACCUGCAGUACCAGUACGGCACAUAACAGUGUGCACGUUCAGGGAAGAUUCAAGGCCAUCUCUUAUGACCUUACCAAAUAAUGUUAUUUAGCUGUUUAAAAUCCUCCACAUUUCUACGUCCUGAAAAGUCUUGGGAUGUGAGUUUUGUUAGCGGACACCACAGCUACAUAGAAGGCACGUUUCACAAUAACGUUAUCAUGAAUUACGUGGGGGCUAAAAUAACUUUGUGGUCACAUCCUGGAAUGUAAUUUUGUUACCUGGGUACACACGAUGGAAGGGAAACAAGUACAAUAGAGUUGAAUGAAUUAGCAUAAAUUCAAAUAAACCAGAAUUGCAAUUUGAUUUAUCAUCAUCAACAGAUCAUGCAUGCCUAUACAUCCGUUUCCUUUUCCCUAAUUGUGGCAUGAUGAUAAGCCAUUUUGUAAAGAUUGAGUGGGAUGUGUUUUCUGCGUUUUAACAGCUUGCAUAUGUGAAGUAAUUAGUAUGCAUUCAACAUCUUUAUAGCUGGUUAUGUUUCUCUGUAUGUAUGACAUUGGCCUCAAAACAGGGCUUUUAACCAAUCAGUGAACUGUGAAGACAGUACAGCUUUGAUUUCUGCGAUCACGGUGUCAAAUUCUGGGUAUUCAUGAUGCCAGCCCUGUGUUUCUUAGCAACAUAAAGUUUGAAAGAUGUAUCCCAUUUCCGCCGUCCCUCCCUCAAACCCAGAGCAAUGCAGUCAGUACAGUUGUUCAUAAUUUGUCUAGAACUAUUAUAUAGUUUGGGGAAAUAUAGAUGGAGUGAGUCGCUGAAUUGAAGGUAUUUUAUUUGAGGUUUCUGCAAGCCUCCUUUGUAAAGAGAGAGGCCAUGGAAGGAUUAUGUGAAGUCUAUCAUUGUUAGCUGUAUGUUGUUCAGCUCAUGAAAGAGCAUGUGUGGCUCUCCUCUUGAAAAGCAAGGCCUGUUUUUUUUUGCAGCGGAGCAGAGCAGAACAGAGCCAUUGGUUUGAGGCUAUGGAGACAGUACAGUGCACCACAGCAGAGGGAGUUCAGGAGAGUCCUCAGGGACCUCAAGAUUGAGCUCAGGGGGCUCAAGAGGAGUCAUGAGAGGAGACAAACAAUGCUGCAAUGCCGGGUCUCUGUACCUUCUUGCUAAAUGCAAGUAAAAUAUGUUUCCUAUAGCUAUGUCUAUUGGGUGGACUCAUUCUGUCAUGGGAGGAGGCUGUAUUGUGUGCUGGCAGACAGUGAACUAAAGAAAAAGUACAUUGUAAAGAAGAAAUUCCCUUCACCUAUUUACACCACCUACUGUAUUGUCAGUUCCAAGGCAUGGGAGUCUCUGUUGGAAAUGUUCAAGUAUCCCACAUAUUGGCCAUCAUGUUCAAGUUAGCUAUGGAAUGGAUUAUGCCCAAUGUUAAUUUUUAAUGAUGGAUGUAUAUGUGAUGCAUGGAUUAUUCUUGGAAAUGUAUACGUGAUCUGGGAAUAAUCUGGCAAAAAAACUAUCUUCAGUGAUUGUUCACUGAGUUCACCCCUCUACUGUGGAGUGACAUUGACAGGGUUGGGAAUCAUGCCACAUGUUUUGUAUUUUCUAUCUGUGGAUCUGAAAGAUUGUCUGUCAACUGCUGUUUGGAACAGUGUGUCCCCUGGUACUUUCACUUACCGGUCUUUAAAUAAACUAUAUGGCUGUCCAUUACAGACGCAUCAGUGCUUAUAGGAUUCACUGGCUUGGGCAGAUAAAUGUCUCAACUUCAAUCAAAGCAAGUGUAUCGCUCAAGAUGAAAUUACACCGUUCAGAGGAUUGCAUUGAACUCCUCGAUACUUUUCUCAGUUGAAUGGUCGGACUGUCAUUUUUGUUGACAGCUUAUACAUUCCAUUAUCUGUUUGCAUCACUAUUAGUUUGCAUAACAGCGGAUGAACUUGUCCUAAAUACACUUGAUUUAUUGAAAAUGUUUGGCUUUCAGAUUGAGACUUAUUGAAGCAAAUAACAGGCCAGAUGUUCAAGUAAAAAUGCUGUCAGAUAUUCAUCUAUUUUUACACAAUUGUUCCCUACGGCAAGGAGGGAAGUCCUGCUUUUAGGGAUCUUGAGUAGUUUGUCAGUAUAGUUUUGCUCUGACCUUGAUGCACUCAUCUUGACAAUGCGUGUUUCCAUGUGUUUAUGUUGAAAAACAUGUGUGUUUGUAUGAAAACAUGUAGCCUGUAACAUUCUGUUAGUCGUCUAUUUAUAUGUUAAUUAAAACUUGAACACUUUCAGUCUAUUGAAUAAAUGAACAUUU